CUCGCGAGAGUAAGCUAAUCUCUUAAAGCCGUUCUCAGUUCGGACUGUAGGCUGCAACUCGCCUACACGAAGUCGGAAUCGCUAGUAAUCGCGGAUCAGCACGCCGCGGUGAAUACGUUCCCGGGCCUUGUACACACCGCCCGUCACACCAUGGAAGUCUGCAAUGCCCGAAGCCGGUGGCCUAACCACUUAUGUGGAAGGAGCCGUCUAAGGCAGGGCAGAUGACUGGGGUGAAGUCGUAACAAGGUAAC
rnacentral:rRNA from 1 species